rnacentral:rRNA from 1 species
UACGUAGGGGGCAAGCGUUGUCCGGAUUUAUUGGGCGUAAAGAGCGUGUAGGCGGUUUGGUAGGUCCGCUGUGAAAACUCGAGGCUCAACCUCGAGACGCCGGUGGAAACCAUCAGACUAGAGUCCGGAAGAGGAGAGUGGAAUUUCUGGUGUAGCGGUGAAAUGCGCAGAUAUCAGGAGGAACACCGGUGGCGAAGGCGGGUCUCUGGGCCGUUACUGACGCUGAGGAGCGAAAGCGUGGGGAGCGAACAGG